CCGGGAACCGCGCCCGGUCGACUGGGGGUGGAAAAUAUCCCCGUCUGAACCACCGCGAACGCGAAGGGCGUUCGCGAAGGGCACGCGACGGCUGUGGAUACAACAUUCUUCUCUCCGGCGCCGAUCUACUACGGCGGCCGCUUCUCACCGAUUAUCCCUGCACCAGUUCGAGUUGGAGAAGACGAACUUCCACCGUCUUGGGACCCUAUAUCCUCUCCUUUAGUUAGCAAUGGAUGUAGCACUAAGAGAUCACCUUAGACAGAGGAGAGCACUAGUACAAAUAAGCUCAAAGCCUGCGGCACGUUCAACUUUUCACUGGCGGUUUCCGUUAUCAAACGUCAGUGAAAGAAACAG